rnacentral:rRNA from 4 species
AGAGUUUGAUCAUGGCUCAGAUUGAACGCUGGCGGCAGGCCUAACACAUGCAAGUCGAGCGGUAGCACAGAGAGCUUGCUCUCGGGUGACGAGCGGCGGACGGGUGAGUAAUGUCUGGGAAACUGCCUGAUGGAGGGGGAUAACUACUGGAAACGGUAGCUAAUACCGCAUAAUGUCGCAAGACCAAAGUGGGGGACCUUCGGGCCUCAUGCCAUCAGAUGUGCCCAGAUGGGAUUAGCUAGUAGGUGGGGUAACGGCUCACCUAGGCGACGAUCCCUAGCUGGUCUGAGAGGAUGACCAGCCACACUGGAACUGAGACACGGUCCAGACUCCUACGGGAGGCAGCAGUGGGGAAUAUUGCACAAUGGGCGCAAGCCUGAUGCAGCCAUGCCGCGUGUGUGAAGAAGGCCUUCGGGUUGUAAAGCACUUUCAGCGGGGAGGAAGGCGAUAAGGUUAAUAACCUUGUCGAUUGACGUUACCCGCAGAAGAAGCACCGGCUAACUCCGUGCCAGCAGCCGCGGUAAUACGGAGGGUGCAAGCGUUAAUCGGAAUUACUGGGCGUAAAGCGCACGCAGGCGGUCUGUCAAGUCGGAUGUGAAAUCCCCGGGCUCAACCUGGGAACUGCAUUCGAAACUGGCAGGCUAGAGUCUUGUAGAGGGGGGUAGAAUUCCAGGUGUAGCGGUGAAAUGCGUAGAGAUCUGGAGGAAUACCGGUGGCGAAGGCGGCCCCCUGGACAAAGACUGACGCUCAGGUGCGAAAGCGUGGGGAGCAAACAGGAUUAGAUACCCUGGUAGUCCACGCCGUAAACGAUGUCGAUUUGGAGGUUGUGCCCUUGAGGCGUGGCUUCCGGAGCUAACGCGUUAAAUCGACCGCCUGGGGAGUACGGCCGCAAGGUUAAAACUCAAAUGAAUUGACGGGGGCCCGCACAAGCGGUGGAGCAUGUGGUUUAAUUCGAUGCAACGCGAAGAACCUUACCUGGUCUUGACAUCCACAGAACUUUCCAGAGAUGGAUUGGUGCCUUCGGGAACUGUGAGACAGGUGCUGCAUGGCUGUCGUCAGCUCGUGUUGUGAAAUGUUGGGUUAAGUCCCGCAACGAGCGCAACCCUUAUCCUUUGUUGCCAGCGGUUCGGCCGGGAACUCAAAGGAGACUGCCAGUGAUAAACUGGAGGAAGGUGGGGAUGACGUCAAGUCAUCAUGGCCCUUACGACCAGGGCUACACACGUGCUACAAUGGCAUAUACAAAGAGAAGCGACCUCGCGAGAGCAAGCGGACCUCAUAAAGUAUGUCGUAGUCCGGAUUGGAGUCUGCAACUCGACUCCAUGAAGUCGGAAUCGCUAGUAAUCGUAGAUCAGAAUGCUACGGUGAAUACGUUCCCGGGCCUUGUACACACCGCCCGUCACACCAUGGGAGUGGGUUGCAAAAGAAGUAGGUAGCUUAACCUUCGGGAGGGCGCUUACCACUUUGUGAUUCAUGACUGGGGUGAAGUCGUAACAAGGUAACCGUAGGGGAACCUGCGGUUGGAUCACCU